CAGGUAAUUCUCCCUAAGUCUCGAGACCAAAUCUCCACCCAUGUUCAAAUUUUCUUUUGCAAACCACCCGUUAAGCGAUACCAUCUAAUUAUGUGCCUGAUACAGGAAUUGCAUUUCACCGCGAAUUCCACAGCUAGCGGUGCUGGGAUUCUCGGAGAGCAUCUCGAACCUGUUCACGUCGGAGAUGAGGUGCCGGUGGCUGGCGGAGCUUCUGGACGGCAAGUUCAAGCUGCCGGAGAUCAAGGAGAUGGAAAAAGAAGCGUCAAGGUGGGACAAGUAUCUCAAGGAGUACUUAGGCGACAACUACAAGAGAUCGUGCAUCGGAGCAAUCCAUAUUUGGCACAACGACCUGCUUUGCAAGGACAUGGGCUGGAACCCAAGAAGGAAGAGUGGCAUUUGGGCUGAGUUGUUUGAGCCUUACGGCCCACUGGACUACGUCUCCCCCUGAUCCGGUGUUCGAGCCUUUCUUUGGUUGUUUUGGCUGUUUUCCAGUGUUUCUAUGGAGUGUCGUAAAUGAAUAAAAGACGGUUUGUUCUGUAUCUAUUCAUUCAUGCCAUGCAAGUUAAACGAGUUAAUAACCAGAUUUGUACUGCAGAAAUCAGAAAACAGUAAAACGUGGUACAUGCUUGAGCCAACAGGAUCCCUGAACUUAAUUAUAAAGAAGCCAGCAGAGACCAUAUUCAUCGCAAUCAAAUCUCCCAAUCACAAAAACAACAAAAAUGGCGGAUAACAAACGCAUAGCCAUAAUCGGAGCAGGCAUCAGCGGCUUGGUCGCAAGCGACAAAGCGCGACCCCACCUUGCUAGCCUGCAAGUACGCCCUCUCCAAGAACUUGCACCCCAUAGUGUUCGAAUCCCGAACCGACGUUGGGGGGCUCUGGACAAGCACCCUCUCCAGCACCAAGCUCCAAACCCCCAAACCAAUCUUCCAGUUCUCCGACUUCCCAUGGCCGGACUCCGUCACCGACGACUUCCCGGCCCACGACCAAGUCCUCGACUACUUGAAGUCGUACUCGAAGCACUUCGGCCUCAACAAGCACAUCCAGCUCAACACCAAAGUGGUUGGGAUCAACUACAGAGGCGUAACAGAGGAGGAGAUGGAAGCGUGGAGCUCCUGGGGGGGAAACGGCGACGUUUUUAGCUCCAGAGGGAGAUGGGAAGUAGAAGUAUCCAGAAAUGGGAGUUCUGAAACUGAAGUGUACGAAGUUGGGUUUGUGAUUAUCUGUGUGGGAAAGUACAGUGAUGUCCCCAACAUUCCGGAGUUUGCGCCGGGGAAGGGACCGGAGGUGUUUCAGGGGAGAGUGAUGCAUUCGAUGGAGUAUUCUGAUCUGGGUGCUGAGGAAGCUGGGAAGGUGGUGAAGGGGAAGAGAGUCGCUGUUGUUGGGUUGCAGAAGCAUGCUCUGGAUAUUGCCAUGGAGUGCUCUGCUAUCAAUGGUAGGUCGUUGCCAAGUUCCUUCUGUUCCAAAAUGAUGAUAAUUUUACAUAAAAUUUUCAAAAUUGAAGCUUUUACUCAUAAUAUUUACGAAUUUUGGUUAGUAUGUGGCUUUCAAAUUUACUGUAAAUUUGAAAUUUUUUCGACGAGAGUUUAAGAUCAUCUUUAGUUAACAAAGUUAAUUAAAGAUUAUUGGAGCCGGUAGGGGUGAGAAUCGGGUAAAGUCUGAACGGGUUUAGUCAAACUCGAAACCCGGACUAAAUAGGAUCUGGCCAAUCUUCGGUUCGCAAAAAAAAGAGAUUCAGGUUCAAAUUAUUCGGGUGAAGCCUGAAAAUUCCCGAACCCGAUGAAAACCCGAUUUCACCCAAGCUAAUUCUAGCUUAAGGAUAUGCAUAUUAGUCAUUAGAGAUGGAAAACCCAUUCAGAUUUAGCCCGAUCCGGUCAGGUCAAACUAAGUUUCGGAUAAUCGGAAACAUGAACUAAAUAAAAUCGGGUUAGGUUAGGGUUUGCAAAAUACAGAGAAUCGGAUUUCAAGUGAUUCGGGUAUAAGUCUGAACCCGAUAAAAUCUGGUUUAACCGGGUAGGGCUUGGCCUGAUUAUCUCCCCCUCAUUGGAGGUUUAAUUAAGUCGAUCAUAUUUUGCAGGGGAGGAGAAUCCUUGCAGAGUGAUGUACAGAAGAGAGCGCUGGAACGUACCUGAUUACAUGCCAUGGGGUUUCCCACUGGCGAAACUCUACCACAACAGGUUUUCAGAGCUAUUGGUUCACAAACCUGGAGAAGACAUCCUGCUCAUCUUCUUGGCCACCAUUUUGGCCCCACUUGUAAGUGCUUAAUUCCCCUCUAAAUCUCAUAUCAGAUGGGGUUUAAUUUGGAAACACAAAUUCGGUUUGAUUGUUUGAUUGAAAACAGAGGUGGGCGAUCUCCAAGUUUGUCGAAAGCGACAUCAAGCACAAGCACCAGUUAGUGAAACAUGGCAUGCUUCCGAACCACAGCUUUCUUCAGGAGGUAAGUUCGUGCUUGAUCUCGAGGGUUCCUGAGAAAUUCUACGACAGGGUCGAUGAGGGAAGCAUCAAGUUGACCAAAGCUCCGAGCUUUAGCUUCUGCAAGGAAGGGGUCGUGGUCGAAGGUCGUGUCGACGAGCAGAAGCCAUUGGAAACGGACCUUGUGAUAUUGGCUACAGGUUUCAAGGGUGAAAAGAAGCUGCAAGAUGUCUUUGGAUCAAAACAUUUCAGAAAAAUCAUCGUCGGCUCCUCUGACACCGCCGUUCCUCUCUACAGGUAAUUCUCCCUAAGUCUCGAGACCAAAUCUCCACCCAUGUUCAAAUUUUCUUUUGCAAACCACCCGUUAAGCGAUACCAUCUAAUUAUGUGCCUGAUACAGGAAUUGCAUUUCACCGCGAAUUCCACAGCUAGCGGUGCUGGGAUUCUCGGAGAGCAUCUCGAACCUGUUCACGUCGGAGAUGAGGUGCCGGUGGCUGGCGGAGCUUCUGGACGGCAAGUUCAAGCUGCCGGAGAUCAAGGAGAUGGAAAAAGAAGCGUCAAGGUGGGACAAGUAUCUCAAGGAGUACUUAGGCGACAACUACAAGAGAUCGUGCAUCGGAGCAAUCCAUAUUUGGCACAACGACCAGCUUUGCAAGGACAUGGGCUGGAACCCAAGAAGGAAGAGUGGCAUUUGGGCUGAGUUGUUUGAGCCUUACGGCCCACUGGACUACGUCUCCCCCUGAUCCGGUGUUCGAGCCUUUCUUUGGUUGUUUUGGCUGUUUUCCAGUGUUUCUAUGGAGUGUCGUAAAUGAAUAAAAGACGGUUUGUUCUGUAUCUAUUCAUUCAUGCCAUGCAAGUUAAACAAGUUAAUAACCAGAUUUGUACUGCAGAAAUCAGAAAACAGUAAAACGUGGUACAUGCUUGAGCCAACAGGAUCCCUGAACUUAACUAUAAAGAAGCCAGUAGAGACCAUAUUCAUCGCAAUCAAAGCUCCCAAUCACAGAAACAAUAAUGGCGGAUGGUAAGAAGAGC
rnacentral:lncRNA from 1 species